rnacentral:lncRNA from 1 species
AAAGGCAGAUUUUACACUUUCAUCACCUGCCACCUGAAAUGACUGGAGACAUUUCAUUCCUCCAUUGUAACUUAGGCUGGAGUGAGGCGAGGGGAGGGAGUCGCAGAACUUGGAGUCCUGGCCCCAGAAUAACAGGGCUUACCAAAAAUGACCCAUUAAUUGAUCGAGGCUGUCAAGCACCUUUCAAAUGGUUGCUACAUUUACUGAAAGCUCCCUCUGUGCCAAGAACCCUUCUGAGCAAUUUGUGUCAAGUUACUGAACACUCUGGAAAAUCCUAUGAGGUGGAGCACACGCGCUCUGCCCACACCUGCCAGAGUGCUGUUCUCCAAAACCCCUGGGUUUCUUCACGGUCCCUGCCAACAAAGUUCCCACCUCCUCCUCACUUCUUGCCUGUUCUCUGCUUGAAACAGCCAACCAGCUAAAGG